UUUGUUCUUUCAUUAUUAAUCUAUGGCAGUACUGUACGUAUAAACUAAUGAACUGUGUUUCUAUAAAGUAUUGUCAUUGCAAUGCAGAGUAAGUGCCUUUUCAUUGACCAAACAGAACUAAAAACAAUAAAAUGCAAGCUUUCAACACUCUGCGUAACGGACAGUAGAAAUUAGUGUGUUUUGUUAAUUGCCUCAUAUUUUGCCUAUUACAGAGGGUUCAUUUCAAUUUGUUUCCAUUUAUAGUUUCCAGUAAAACUGUUCCUACUCCUUCAGCCUUCGUCCUCGCUGUUUCAGCCACAUCUAAUUUAAAGUGAAUGCCAAUAAAUAUGAAUUUGUGUAAGACGGUUUCAACAGGAGCCGGUUUUGAAAGUCAGUAGUAUUUAUAGCACUGCUUAUUUACAUAUAGUCAACAAUAACAUGUAGUUGCUUUUCGGAGUGAGAGAUGAGGCUAUUAGUAUUAUUAUUAUUAUUAGUAGUAGUAGUCCUAUUUAGUGCCAGUAGGGGGACUACACCGCCCACCCAGUGACAGUCAGGUGCACCGGCUGCCUAAUGGCAGGCGGACAAAAAUUCAUUUUAGCACCCCCUAAACAAAAGAGGGUGCUAACAAAAACUGGCAACUAACUAAUUUUAACCAAAAAACCGGUAAAAGGACUGUAAAUUAAAUAUUUAGAAUGAAAGGGGAGGUGGUACAGAGCACGCCCCCCAGAGCCCACUGGUCGACAAAGGUGGCCAUGUCGCCAGCAGACUCCGCGUGGGCGUGCUCCAACUUAACCCGGGAUCGGACUAGGGCCCUGAACAUGGCCCCACAGUCAAAGAGACCCUCCCCGAUCAUCUUACGCUUCCUGGUCUUGUAGAUGGCGAGUCUAGCAAGAGCCAGGAGCAGAUUCACGAGGAGGUCUCUCUUUUUGGUGGAGCCAUGAACAGGGUGCCCGAAUAUGAGGAGGGUUGGGGAGAAAUGCAGCCAGAACUGCAGCAAAAGGUUUUUCAAUAAAAGAAAAAUGGCUGCAGCCAGUAGUAGUAGUAGUAGUAGUAGUAUAUAUUUUUUGAAAAGUAUACAUUUCUAAUAUAUUGUAGGUAAAUAUUGAAACAGGCAGAAAUAAAUGACCAGUUUACACACUUUCAUUCAUAACUUGAAAAUCUAAAUAAACUUACUCUAGCGGUCAAGCGUUUUAACAAGUGUCCCCUUUAAUAAGAUGUAAUUUUUUGUGACACGAAGCUGGGGAAUGUCUGUCCCAUAGACGAGGAACAUGUAGGGAUGCAGAACAUGCUUGCUUCAGGUCACGAGCACAAACUCUCCCAAAAGUGUAGCGAUGGGUUAGUGAUGGCAGGGGGGUUUCUGGUAGCUGUUUUGUUCAUGGUCUUUCAUCUGACAUGACGUAUCAACUUGAAUUGUUAAUAAAAAUGAAUUCACACAUCCACAAGUACUACGUUUCUCCUAACACACUGGACACUACUCAUGGGCAUCUCCCAGCAAAACCCUUACAGCAAUCAAUCAAUCAAUCAAUCAAUCAAUCAAUCAGAACCUCUAUUUAUCCAGAGGAUUCGAUUGAGAACAACUUUCCAAAGACGACCUGGCAAGCGGCUCGCACUUCCACAGCAAACAACAUCAAACAAAGUAAGGAGUAAAAAACACUUCAUCAAACAUAAAACUCAGCAGCAACUUCGCAGAUACAGCUGUCAGUCAGCAAUGAGUCGACCGUACGGCUGAAAGCAACCUCAGAUAAGAACCCUUCUUUAAUUUGAACUUGUGUUGAAACUCAUUCCAGUCAUUGGCUGCUGCAAACUAAAAUGGGCGAUGACCAAAAACUGUCGGAACCCUGCAUGGGAAGAAUCUUUUAAAUAGAAUGACUGGUACUUAAGUUAAAGGUUGGUUAUGGAAAGGUUGUAGUGGUGAGUUCUGUAGGGGCACCGGUGACAAAACUCACAGCAGAAAGGUAUCAAACAUCUAUUUCAUCAGUAGCUAUAGACUUGCAUAUCACACCCAGGCAGGUUGGAUAAUUGUGUGCAGCACAGUAAUCUGUUCUCUGUGCUUGGUGUUUGAUACUGUAAGUAGUGUUGUGCUGCAGCUCUCUUAUUGUGUUUAUAAUUUCAGCAUGCUCCCACGGCUCGAUUUGUGCUCCGCUACAUACGUGUCAGGAGAACAUCAUUAUUCUAGGCUUCAUAUUCACGUUGUCAGAUGCUCUUAUGCUCAUUUCCUUUCUUCUUUAAUCCAUGCAGCUAUACUUUCUAUUAAUGAUUGUAUAGCUAGCCGCACUCGGAUGCAUUGCGCAGUAGCAUUUGGUACCCGGUGACUAUUCCCAGUAGCAUGCGCAGGACUCUGAUAAACUUGUAUGACUUACAGCCAGCAACAGAACAUCACCAUGUGCACAGAAAGGGCUUAUUUCCCUCUUAUUGGGAAUGGCAAGGGGACUAUGUUAGCACAGUUUUGAUAUAACAGGGCAUAGCCUUAUGGUAUAGCUAAUUGGAUCUAUUUUGAAUAAUAGGUUGACUGUAAUCGCUGUAGUACAGUUUGGACUGUAAUUGCUGUAGCAGUUAUUGUAGGCUGUACUGUUUGGACUGUAAUCGCUGUAGUACAGUUAUUGUAGGCAGUACUGUUUGGACUGUAAUCGCUGUAGUACAGUUAUUGUAGGCUGUACUGUUUGGACUGUAAUCGCUGUAGUACAGUUAUUGUAGGCUGUACUGUUUGGACUGUAAUCGCUGUAGUACAGUUAUUGUAGGCUGUACUGUUUGGACUGUAAUCGCUGUAGUACAGUUAUUGUAGGCUGUACUGUUUGGACUGUAAUCGCUGUAGUACAGUUAUUGUAGGCUGUACUGUUUGGACUGUAAUCGCUGUAGUACAGUUAUUGUAGGCAGUACUGUUUGGACUGUAAUCGCAGUACUGUUUGGACUGUAAUCGCUGUGGUACAGUUAUUGUAGGCAGUACUGUUUGGACUGUAAUCGCUGUAGUACAGUUAUUGUAGGCAGUACUGUUUGGACUGUAAUUGCUGUAGUACAGUUAUUGUUGGCUGUACUGUUUGGACUGUAAUCGCUGUAGUACAGUUAUUGUAGGCUGUACUGUUUGGACUGUAAUUGCUGUAGUACAGUUAUUGUUGGCUGUACUGUUUGGACUGUAAUCGCUGUAGUACAGUUAUUGUAGGCUGUACUGUUUGGACUGUAAUCGCUGUAGUACAGUUAUUGUAGGCUGUACUGUUUGGACUGUAAUCGCUGUAGUACAGUUAUUGUAGGCUGUACUGUUUGGACUGUAAUCGCUGUAGUACAGUUAUUGUAGGCUGUACUGUUUGGACUGUAAUCGCUGUAGUACAGUUAUUGUAGGCUGUACUGUUUGGACUGUAAUCGCUGUAGUACAGUUAUUGUAGGCUGUACUGUUUGGACUGUAAUCGCUGUAGUACAGUUAUUGUAGGCUGUACUGUUUGGACUGUAAUCGCUGUAGUACAGUUAUUGUAGGCUGUACUGUUUGGACUGUAAUCGCUGUAGUACAGUUAUUGUUGGCUGUACUGUUUGGACUGUAAUUGCUGUAGUACAGUUAUUGUAGGCUGUACUGUUUGGACUGUAAUCGCUGUAGUACAGUUAUUGUAGGCUUGGAUUUGGAUUUUCCAUUAAAUGAAAUGAAGCAGCGCUUUCAGCGUAUGUCAUUAUCAUGAUUCUGCUCUGUCUGUGAUAAACAUUCCUGAAGCCAGCCCUGUAAUGAACGUUCUGCUUUCAACCAAGACAGAGCAGGUCAAGGAUUUGUCAGGAAAGCCAAGCCAGGACUACAUAAUAAACAUUUUAUUAAGCAAGCUGUGAUUGAGAAGUGAUAUUUGACAGAAGGGACUGCCAGUCCUUGUAAGAAGACAUUAAGAAAUGCUUGAAGAGAAUUCAACCCGAGCAGUGCAUUCAAACUGCUUCCAGCAGGCACAGUAAUCCUUAUCCAGAGGUAAUCCGAUAGAGCUGCUCCCCUUCUGAAUACAUAAAUGCAAUUGACAUGAACUUCAUGAGAGCAAUUACUGUAUAACAUCAUUCUAGAAGCAGGCUCUGUUGAGCAGGGAUCCUGGUUUCUCAGACCACUAGGAAGAGAGGUCCUGCUGUUCAGGGUAGUGUUGCUGCAGGUGCAUGCUUGGGUAACAGAUAUCCUGCUGUUCAGGGUAGUGUUGCUGCAGGUGCAUGCUUGGGUAACAGAUAUCCUGCUGUUCAGGGUAGUGUUGCUGCAGGUGCAUGCUUGGGUAACAGAUAUCCUGCUGUUCAGGGUAGUGUUGCUGCAGGUGCAUGCUUGGGUAACAGAUAUCCUGCUGUUCAGGGUAGUGUUGCUGCAGGUGCAUGCUUGGGUAACAGAUAUCCUGCUGUUCAGGGUAGUGUUGCUGCAGGUGCAUGCUUGGGUAACAGAUAUCCUGCUGUUCAGGGUAGUGUUGCUGCAGGUGCAUGCUUGAGUAACGGAUAUCCUGCUGUUCAGGGUAGUGUUGCUGCAGGUGCAUGCUUGGGUAACAGAUAUCCUACUGUUCAGGGUAGUGUUGCUGCAGGUGCAUGCUUGGGUAACAGAUAUCCUGCUGUUCAGGGUAGUGUUGCUGCAGGUACAUGCCUGUAACAGAUUUCCUGCUGUUCAGGGUAGUGUUGCUGCAGGUGCAUGCUUGGGUAACAGAUAUCCUGCUGUUCAGGGUAGUGUUGCUGCAGGUGCAUGCUUGGGUAACAGAUAUCCUGCUGUUCAGGGUAGUGUUGCUGCAGGUGCAUGCUUGGGUAACAGAUAUCCUACUGUUCAGGGUAGUGUUGCUGCAGGUGCAUGCUUGGGUAACAGAUAUCCUGCUGUUCAGGGUAGUGUUGCUGCAGGUGCAUGCUUGGGUAACAGAUAUCCUGCUGUUCAGGGUAGUGUUGCUGCAGGUACAUGCCUGUAACAGAUAUCCUGCUGUUCAGGGUAGUGUUGCUGCAGGUGCAUGCUUGGGUACAUCCCUGUAGCAUUUUAAUUUCAUAAGGAAAGCCAUUAUCAACACUGGAUAUGCUGAUUCAUGGAGCUGUUGCUUUGAUGGUGCUCCAGGUUUUUAUUAAGCAUUUCCAUAAGGCUUUUGUAACGGUUUACCAUAACAAAGUGUAAAGCAUAGGUACGUAUUGUAAAGCACAAGUGGAAGGUAUAUCACAAUAUUACGGUUUUCAGUAUCAAUAUCAGUAAAAAAAAAAAAAAAAAAAAAAA